GUGGACGUGGGCCGGGUAGCGGGCCGCCUGCUCCUGGCGCAGGAAUCCGAGGUGGUAGUCGCGGUGCACGCUCUGCGCCGUGCCGCCCGGG
rnacentral:tRNA from 1 species